rnacentral:rRNA from 1 species
GACGAACGCUGGCGGCGUGCUUAACACAUGCAAGUCGAACGGAAAGGCCCUGCUUUUGUGGGGUGCUCGAGUGGCGAACGGGUGAGUAACACGUGAGUAACCUGCCCUUGACUUUGGGAUAACUUCAGGAAACUGGGGCUAAUACCGGCUAGGAGCUCCUGCUGCAUGGUGGGGGUUGGAAAGUUUCGGCGGUUGGGGAUGGACUCGCGGCUUAUCAGCUUGUUGGUGGGGUAGUGGCUUACCAAGGCUUUGACGGGUAGCCGGCCUGAGAGGGUGACCGGCCACAUUGGGACGGGGAUACGGCCCAGACUCCUACGGGAGGCAGCAGUGGGGUAUAGUGCACAAUGGGCGGAAGCCUGAUGCAGCAACGCCGCGUGCGGGAUGACGGCCUUCGGGUUGUAAACCGCUUUCGCCUGUGACGAAGCGUGAGUGACGGUAAUGGGUAAAGAAGCACCGGCUAACUACGUG